GAGUUUGAUCAUGGCUCAGGAUGAACGCUAGCGGGAGGCUUAACACAUGCAAGUCGAGGGGUAAGGUUCUCUUCGGAGAAUACACGACCGGCGCACGGGUGAGUAACGCGUAUGUAACCUACCUAUAACACAAGGAUAGCUCCCGGAAACGGGAAUUAAUACUUGAUGACAUUCACAGAUGGCAUCAUCAAUGAAUCAAAGUUCCGGCGGUUAUAGAUGGGCAUGCGUGACAUUAGCUAGUUGGUGAGGUAACGGCUCACCAAGGCGACGAUGUCUAGGGGGUCUGAGAGGAUGAUCCCCCACACUGGUACUGAGACACGGACCAGACUCCUACGGGAGGCAGCAGUGAGGAAUAUUGCGCAAUGGAGGAAACUCUGACGCAGCCAUCCCGCGUGCAGGAUUGACGGCCCUAUGGGUUGUAAACUGCUUUUCUAUACCAAGAACUACAUCUACGUGUAGGUGUUUGCCGGUAGUAUAGGAAUAAGCAUCGGCUAACUCCGUGCCAGCAGCCGCGGUAA
rnacentral:rRNA from 1 species